GACAUUCCAGUCAGCUCAUCAAACUCAUUAGCAGCAAAGAUGGAGCCACACGAGUCAAAACUAGCAACUAAAUGACUGCUUUGUAUCAGACUAGUGACAUCAACACAAGAAGAGAAUUAGUGCAUAGAUUCCUUAUUCUCUAUCUUGGUGAGGAUGACAAGUGCCUGUUAAAAGACUAUCUGGAUUGUCAAGUUGAGAAAGUUGAACAAGACGUGGAAAGAAUGACCAUGGGCAUC